UACGAAGGGGCUAGCGUUGUUCGGAAUUACUGGGCGUAAAGCGCACGUAGGCGGAUUGUUUAGUGAGGGGUGAAAUCCCAGGGCUCAACCCUGGAACUGCCUCUCAUACUGGCAAUCUCGAGUUCGAGAGAGGUGAGUGGAAUUCCGAGUGUAGAGGUGAAAUUCGUAGAUAUUCGGAGGAACACCAGUGGCGAAGGCGGCUCACUGGCUCGAUACUGACGCUGAGGUGCGAAAGCGUGGGGAGCAAACAGGAUUAGAUA
rnacentral:rRNA from 1 species